rnacentral:rRNA from 1 species
UGCAGUCGAGCGAACAGACAAGGAGCUUGCUCCUUUGACGUUAGCGGCGGACGGGUGAGUAACACGUGGGUAACCUACCUAUAAGACUGGGAUAACUUCGGGAAACCGGAGCUAAUACCGGAUAAUAUUUCGAACCGCAUGGUUCGAUAGUGAAAGAUGGUUUUGCUAUCACUUAUAGAUGGACCCGCGCCGUAUUAGCUAGUUGGUAAGGUAACGGCUUACCAAGGCGACGAUACGUAGCCGACCUGAGAGGGUGAUCGGCCACACUGGAACUGAGACACGGUCCAGACUCCUACGGGAGGCAGCAGUAGGGAAUCUUCCGCAAUGGGCGAAAGCCUGACGGAGCAACGCCGCGUGAGUGAUGAAGGUCUUCGGAUCGUAAAACUCUGUUAUUAGGGAAGAACAUACGUGUAAGUAACUGUGCACGUCUUGACGGUACCUAAUCAGAAAGCCACGGCUAACUACGUGCCAGCAGCCGCGGUAAUACGUAGGUGGCAAGCGUUAUCCGGAAUUAUUGGGCGUAAAGCGCGCGUAGGCGGUUUUUUAAGUCUGAUGUGAAAGCCCACGGCUCAACCGUGGAGGGUCAUUGGAAACUGGAAAACUUGAGUGCAGAAGAGGAAAGUGGAAUUCCAUGUGUAGCGGUGAAAUGCGCAGAGAUAUGGAGGAACACCAGUGGCGAAGGCGACUUUCUGGUCUGUAACUGACGCUGAUGUGCGAAAGCGUGGGGAUCAAACAGGAUUAGAUACCCUGGUAGUCCACGCCGUAAACGAUGAGUGCUAAGUG